UACGAAGGGGGCUAGCGUUGUUCGGAAUUACUGGGCGUAAAGCGUGCGCAGGCGGCUUCUCAAGUCAGGGGGUGAAAGCCCAGAGCUCAACUCUGGAAUUGCCUUUGAGACUGAGUGGCUUGAGUACGAGAGAGGUGAGUGGAACUGCGAGUGUAGAGGUGAAAUUCGUAGAUAUUCGCAAGAACACCAGUGGCGAAGGCGGCUCACUGGCCCGAUACUGACGCUGAGGCACGAAAGCGUGGGGAGCAAACAGG
rnacentral:rRNA from 1 species